rnacentral:rRNA from 1 species
AUUGAACGCUGGCGGAAUGCUUUACACAUGCAAGUCGAACGGCAGCACGGGUGCUUGCACCUGGUGGCGAGUGGCGAACGGGUGAGUAAUACAUCGGAACGUACCCAGUUGUGGGGGAUAACGAGUCGAAAGAUUCGCUAAUAUCGCAUACGACCCGAGGGUGAAAGCGGGGGACCGUAAGGCCUCGCGCAAUUGGAGCGGCCGAGGUCUGAUUAGCUAGUUGGUGAGGUAAAGGCUCACCAAGGCGACGAUAAGUAGCUGGUCUGAGAGGAUGAUCAGCCACACUGGAACUGAGACACGGUCCAGACUCCUACGGGGGGCAGCAGGGGGGAAUUUUGGACAAGGGGGGAAACCCUGAUCCAGCCAUUCCGCGUGAGUGAAGAAGGCCUUCGGGUUGUAAAGCUCUUUCGGCAGGGAAGAAACGCUCUGGCUUAAUACGCCGGGGUAAUGACGGUACCUGAAGAAGAAGCACCGGCUAACUACGUGCCAGCAGCCGCCGUAA